UUGAUAUGCAGAAGUCUAUGUAACAAGCCUCCAUUUUAUUUUUUUAUAGGGGUCAGUUUUGCUUGUCCCUCACCAAGUAACGUCCUGAUAACGUCAUACAUAAAACUGUGUUUUGCACCCUUAAGGAGUAGCAUUUGAUGACAUUUCCCACAUUUAUUUGCAUGGGUCAGUUUUGCUUGUCCCUCACCAAGUAACGUCCUGAUAACGUCAUACAUAAAACUGUGUUUUGCACCCUUAAGGAGUAGCAUUUGAUGACAUUUCCCACAUUUAUUUGCAUGGGUCAGUUUUGCUUGUCCCUCACCAAGUAACGUCCUGAUAACGUCAUACAUAAAACUGUGUUUUGCACCCAA